ensembl:lncRNA
CCCAUAGAGAUGUGUGGCUGAAGAAUACUGGUGAAAUUCUCCUUACCUAUUACCCUCUUACACUGCAUCAGAGAGAUUUUCAUUUGUUGUUGUUGUUAUUUUUAUUUUAGGUCCAAACUUUCCUAUAGCAGGUUGGAAAAAGUUUGCACUUUGUGGUGAAUGGCAGCAAGUGAACAGAGGGCUCCUCUAAACGUUUAUUGCCUGUGCCUGGGCAGUACACUGGAAGGACUCAGAUUUCAUGCCAAGUGUAUAGUGACAUUUUACACAGUGCUGCUCUACACUGUUCUCCAGGCUGGAGAAGGGCCUGGUGCAGAGCUUGAGUGCAGCCAGGUUUUACUCAAAGGGGCAGGAGACCCACUGUCUCCAGACUUCUCAGCCCAGAGGAGCCACUGGGUACAACAAAAGCAUAGUAACUCCAGGUUCCACAGUGUCGUGAGAAGGGUAACCCAGGUAUUUCAUGAGCUGCUUGAAAUAUUUGGAGAUUGAAUAGAAUGACUGGAUAAAAACCAAACUACAAGACCAGCUGGUUCACUGAAAGGCUGCUACUUUUACUCAUUCCACUAACGCAGUGGCUGAAAAAAUGACUGAAAAUUGUAGUCAUUUUUCAAAAUGACUGAUUUCACAAGCAACUCAUCUGUCUGGCUGUACCACGAAUAGGAAAUUGCACUGAGACCAUUUCUGCAAAGGUGAGCUGUGUGAAAUAUAAGUUAUCAGUAUGGCCCUUUCAAUUAAACAGACUGAAAUAAUAGUUGAAAGCAACUAAAAUACAGAGAGAACAUCAAUGUCUUCUUUCUCAGCUUAGCAUAUAACUAAAUUUGAUUUCACACGGAAGGAAUUGUCUUCCUACACUAAGUCUGCUUCUACAUGGUAAUCAUGUUCUGAAACCUCACCUUAAUGUACUGAGUAGGCUGGGAACAAAGAAAAACUUGGG